rnacentral:lncRNA from 1 species
AAAGAUAAAAUGAGCUUUAAGUAAACACCAACUAAAAACUGUGAACUUUAUAUUAUAAAAAAGUGAUUUGGAAGAAACUCUUUUCUUUAUAAACUACUGGUGAAUGACCACUCGACUAUAUCUAAUAAUUGUUCUCAAUAGUUGUGGAGCAUACAAUAAAAUUGGGAUAGUUUUUUCGCCAAUAUAAUUUAAUUACAUUGAUAUUUUGUCCCAGCAGUUAUUUUAUAAUACAAUUGUAAGAAGUGCUUUCUUCAGAAUUCAAAUUAUUCCUUUUUUCAUCAGUUAAGCUACUAUCAAAAAUAUGGUUGGACAUUUUUAUAGCCUUCUAUAUGGUAUGUGAUAUGCUCAUUGUUAAAGGCAAUAUCUUAACCUAUUGUGGAAUACAUUCACUUCAUUUAAUCUCUGUCUCUCCUCUAAAGUUUACUAAUCGCCAAAACUGCACUUCUUUCCUUUCAGACUUUAUCAAAUGCAGCUGGAAUUUUCUUAAAAUCCAUAUUUAAGGUAGAUAGGGUGUCUUCCUCCAUUUUGGAUUUUGAAAUACUAGAAAACAAGGUCUAGAUCUUUGAUGAAAUGUGCAAAUUUUUAUAGCAGUAGGUAAUUCAUGUGUAAGAAUUUUCAUUAUAAUAUAGAAAAUGCCAUGUUUGAUCAUAUUUAUAAUUGUAUUUUACAAAAAAAAGAAUUCUUUUGUUUGAUUCAUAUUUUUCCAACUUUGUCAAAUAAGGGGAGGCAACUCAAAUGCAAGGGCAGAUAAUUCAGAUAGUGUUAAUUUUACAAUAGAAUGUGUUAGGAAUUUACCCAUUUUUACAUGCAGCAAGAAAACAAGUCCGGUGACCCCAUUUUUUCUUUUUCUUACCUGAAAGCAUAAUAUUGGAGCUAUGAUCGUCUCAUAUUUUAUCUCAAAAUUCUAUGGUGUGGUUUGCGUUUUAUGGCGGAAAAAUGGGUUUUCCAUGCAUAAUCUAUACAAAAUCUUGACAAUUUUGCACAACCUGUAGUGUGAAAAUAAGUCCGGUGACCCAUUCUUUUUAUUAAUGUUUUUUACAAGCAGGAUAUGAACUACAUUUUGGCAAAUUAUUAAAAGAUUCUAUGGAUUAUAAUUUAGACACCCCAUCUACCUUAAGUUAGAAAAACC